rnacentral:lncRNA from 1 species
CCCGGGAGUGCUUGCUCGUGAUGACACCAUGCUUUAGCUGAUAUAAGAGGAAUAUAAUAAAGAUGAAGAAUAAGGAGAUCCUCUCCUUUUCUUUCUGGAUCCAUGUAUCAAAUCUCUACAAUAGAGAUCAAGAGAAGAACCCUUUCUUCUUAAUUUUUUCAUACACAAAAGAGAACCUUUCUCUCUUUCUUUCAUGUCUUUAAGAAAAAAAAUUUUCUCUGAUUUUUCAUGACAAAAAUCAGAUCUAAUCUAAUUUUUUAUACUAAAAAUAAUAUGAAUUCUCAUGUUCUAGAAAAAUUUAAAAGAGAGAUCCA